GAUCUCAAAUGAAUGCUUUAUUUUAAAUCCCUUAUCAUAUACCAUGCAAAGAGGAUGAAAUGAUUAAAAGAUUUCCUAAGGGGUUUCCAGUUUAUACAUGAUGGUGGAAAAAGGGUUUCUGAGUAAAAAGUGAAUACACAAUGCUGGGCUGAAAGAUUGCCUUUCUUUUGAACAGAGCAGAUUUAGGAAUAUAGAAGUGGAUAGAAGGAAGAGAUUACUUAGAAAGUGUAAACACUCCACUUGGAGCUCAGUAAGUACAGAGGCCUCAUUUAGCUGAAAAAGAGUGAGGUUUCAGUUCUCAGACAGUCUGCAUCAUAAGAUAACAUGCUUGUUGGCAGCAACAGAACUGUUGGUUUUUGAAGAAACAUAUACAAAAUACAUAUUUAUUAGUUGCUUUGAUUAAAAACAAAACUCUUCUAAAUGUCUGUUUUUCUCUUCACAAUGGCCUUCUUAAUGUCAUGCCAAAAAUAUGCCCCAGCUAUCCAUGCUUAGCAAGUUGAAUUGGAGAUGGUUUACAUCUUGAGUACUUCACAAUUAACUGCUUUGGUUAGUGUUGGCAAAUUACAUAACCAAAUUGUUGAUCUGUUUUCUAAUGUCUCUACAAAAUUAUGCAGAAAAAAAAAAAGUGCGUACAAAGUAAAUUGCAUCUAGAAUUGCGUGGUACCCUUGUUCUCUUUGUGUUGAGGGGGGAAGUGAUUACAUCACUCUUUGGAAUCAUUCUAUUUCAGUCAACUUUUUGAUCAUUGAUCUGGUUAGGGGUUAGUAAAUGGGACCGAUAUGCUGCUGUGUGCUGAGUGGAGUAGACUAUUUAAUAGCCUUAUUGGAGCUCUCAGGCGAUGAUUUCUCAAUUUCAGUCUUUUUUCACUUUGGAGCCACUCUGAGAAAAGGGAGACCCAGGGUUUAAUUUGAAUAAAGAAGGAAUUAACCAGUCAUCAUUCCAUGUAAUCCUAGGACACAAAGAAGAUAGAGCUGUGUUACCAAGAAGGUAGCAGUUGAGGAACUCAGACAUCAGGAUUGAUGAUCCUGAAGGUAGGCAGGUGGGUAGGAAGAAAAGAAGGAAAGAAGAAAGGGUGGAUGGAAGGAAGGAUAGAUGGAUUAAGAAAACUAAGAGCUUACAAAUUCAAAAUGUUUCCCUCUUCUUCCUCCAUAUGGGGGACACAGAUUCAGGUAAACUCUUCCUUUCCUUUGGUUGUAUUCUUUUGUUUUAAGGAAUAUCAUGGUUAUUUAUUUAAUUUUUUAAAUGUAGGCUCUUUCAUUUAGCCUGCUACAGCUCAGUGACCUUAGGCUAUUAAGCUUAAAAACCAAAGGAUUUGGUUGUUGGAAAGGUAUUAGCAUCAGAAAGGAAGGUUGCCUGGUGUGCUGGCUAAAAUAACCCCACAGAAAGAGGUUGGGCUGGUGAUGAGGGUAUUUUGAUACUAGAGAGUCUUUGUUUAAUUGUUGAGCAAUAAAUAAAGUUAUGCUCUCUGGUAUUGCUGAAUAUCAAGCUCUCUUCUCUGAGUUGGAGUGAAGUCUAUUAUGAGUGUCGGUGGCUUCUUUGUGGUUGUCAGUAAAUGUAUGCUCGAGUCCAACUAGUGAUGUCUUAUACUUUUUUAGUAAUCACAACUUUUUCAAAUCUUUUCCUGUCUUCAUACUUCUAGAAUUAUAUGCUGUGUAUGGGAUGUGCUGGAAGAAAGAGUUCUGGCCAGAGUCAGGAGACUGACCUUUAGGUGCAAUCACUAUUCUUAAUGGACUUCUUUUGAGUGGUUCCUUUUCCCUAAGUGACCUCAGCCUCUUUGAGCUUUAAAAUAUGGUGCCUUGAUUCUAAGAGUCCUUACUUUUCUGUUUGCAUUUAUUUAGUACAAAAUCUCCAGCCUGUGAUGAAAGUUGGCCUGAAGUGACUGGAGGGAAAGAGUUAUUCCAAGUUAUGCGCCAUCAUUAGAAUGUUUUGUUUUCUUUGUUUGUUUUUUUAAAUAACAAUUGUUUGCCUUUACCUUGAAAAUACUUUGCAAAGCCCAACUCUUAUAACAUCCUAUAGUAUAGAGGGGUCACCAUUUCAGGCAUUGAUUUCUAGAAAUGGGCAAACCGAAAUCUAGAGGGGUAGCAUGGCAGCCUUCAUGUCUCAUCCUGUAGUGACUUGCUGGUAAGAGAGGAAGCAGUCUUCUUUCUGAGGUUGCAGAAGAAAAGUUAGCAUUUCCUUGGGAAUUCUGACAUGGCCUUUUGUGCCUCCAUUCUUCCUUUCCCUACUCCCCUCUUUCUCUUCCUUUCACUUGGUCAUUUACAAGCAUUCUCUCACUUUUGCAGCUCUAAAAUUAUGAGUGUUGUCUUGAACAAUGAUAGUGUAUUUGUAAAAUAAGGGAUAUAUGAACAGAUGAAGACAUGGAAAGAGUUUUAAUCCUGUGAGAUUUGUAUUUUAGAAUGUAUAUAAUUCUAAGAGAAGAGUCCUCUUUUUUUUUCAAGUUGUUUAUUUUAGCCAUAAUUACCUAUUUCCCCUUUGCUCCUCAGACUCCUGAUAGACAAGCUUCUUGAGAAAAAGGUUCAGCUUAUGGAGAGAAAUUCCUUUGCUCAGAGAACGAAGACAUUGUACUUUCUUGAAGUUGAGAGAUCCAUAGAGUAGAACUAUUAUUUUUCAUAGAGGUAUUCAACACCAGUGACCAAAUGCACAGGUCUUUCCUGAAUGAAUACAAGCUCUUGUAAGUCUCAAUGAAGGCUCAAUGUCUGGGGACAAUGUUGGGGGGAUCUGGUGGUUUCAAAUCUUGAUUAGACAGGAAAAGAGGACUAUGGUGAAAACAGUCCAAGGAAGUAAAUGCAACCUCAUUCCCAGCAAGUGCAUGGGAUCAUGCCAUUCCUUAAUUCACUCAUCUACUGCAAAUGAUCCCUGUGAUUUGUAGAGCUCUAUGCCAGUACUCUCUUACAACUGGAGCUGCUGCAUUAUCAGUCAACAAAAUGAACCUCUUCCUCUCUUGGGACCUUUGUUCUAGUGGGAGAACUUUGGUCAAUUGCUUAUAAAUACACAUACACAUUGUCUAAAACAGGAUGUACUCUGAAUGAUUACUGGACACCUCUAGGAAAAGUAUAGAACAAGGAAAACAGGAUCUUGCCCCCAUGUAAUCGGCGUAUUUCACAAAUAAGGGAUAGACUAUCAAAAAAACCUUCCCUGGGGUAUAUGUUAGUUUUCCUUCCACCUUCCUUGAUAGGGUAUAAUUGGGUAAUAAUUUGGAAUGGGUCAAACGUGGCAAGUGGUGAACAAUGCAUGUUCAACAGAUGACAUGAAAUGAUGGGAAAAGUACAAAGUUGUGGACCUUAAACAUUUUUUUUUUUUUUGCUGACUGAAAUUUUAAGCAAUGAUGAAUCAUUUGUGCUUUAACUCAUGCUGUUUAAAAAAGUCUUUGUAAACUGCUUUAAUCCCUUCUUGUGUUCAGUAAGUGUAAUAGUGUGAAUCUUCAUUUUAACAGCUGCAGCAACAAACAUUGAUUCAUUUCAUACCCUGUGCAAAGUGUUGCUGAUACAAAAAUAAAUAAGAAAUGAUCCCUACCCUUAAGGGCUUAUAAAAUGAGAAUUUGGAUGUAUUGUGGAAAUUUUCUUCUGAAAGUCUUUUUUUUUUUUUUUUUUUUGGCAUAGUACUGCAGGUAUAUGAGAUAGGGGAUAAGGAAACUGAGGUCUGAAUAUGAACCACCCAGUAUAUAUCCAGAAAGUCCUUUUGCAGUAAAUUUCUACUCUAAAUGUGUUUGCUAGUGUCACCAUUUCUAGUUAAAUAUAUAUAUAUAAAAUACAUAUAUAUAUAUUUAUAUAUGAGAUUUUGAGGAUACAGGGUCAUGAAAACACUGGAUUUACUUAUAUUAGUGUUUUCUGAACUUUCUUCCAUGGGAGAAUGUUGACAGUUAUGGGGAAGGUGAACAAAGUGGCAGGAGAGGAGGAGUUUCCAUGUCAAGUGAGUUUGGCAAACAUCCGGGCCAAAGGAAGGAAGCAGGAUUUUUAAUGUGUGACUUUCCAUAAUCUUUAAUUUUCUUUUUUUUUUUUUUAAAGAUUUAUUUAUUUAUGAUAGACAUAGAGAGAGAGAGGGGCAGAGACACAGGAGGAGGGAGAAGCAGGCUCCAUGCUGGGAGCCUGAUGUGGGACUCGAUCCUGGGACUCCAGGAUCGCGCCCUGGGCCAAAGGCAGGCGCUAAACCUCUGAGCCACCCAGGGAUCCCCCAUAAUCUUUCAUUCUCUGAUCUGCCUUGUGAAUCUCCAACAUGGGUUUUAGCAGUGGUUUCCAAAUCCGGCAUCAUAAUCACAGUAUCCGGACCUCCACUCAUUCAUUGAAUCACAAUUGAGGGAGGUGGGAAUUGGGGAUUUUUAUUUAAAACACAUUUGGGAGACUAUGUCAAGGCAGGCGGGAAUUAGUCUUUCCCAGCAGAGGUCUGAGGCACUUUUGAAGUAUGGGAUGCAUCCCUCCCCAGUUUAUUUAAUGCCAGAACUCCUCUUAUCCAAGAAAUACAUGUUGACAUUUAUGGAACUAACAGUUUAGAAAAUGCUGGCCCACACAUUCUCCUACUAAAGGCUGAAAGAAAAAAUGAGCCUUUUCAGGUUUAUCAGUUUGGGACUGGACUUUGAGUUAUAUAUUUGGGUUGUGGGAUAGCACUAAAGGUUAAGCCUGUUUUCUGAACCCACAUUGAUGUGUUAUUUAUUAUUAUUAUUAUUAUUUUAAAGAUUUUAUUUAUUUAUUCAUGAGAGACACACAGAGAGAGGCAGAGACAUAUACAGAGGCAGAAGCAGGCUCCUCCUGGGGAGAUGAAUGUGGAAAUCGACCCCAGGACCCCGGGACCACGACCUGAGCUGAAGACUCUCAAUCACUAAGCUACCUAGGUGCCCCUGUUUAUUAUUUUUUAAAGUGGUACUUAUUUCAUUGUAUUAUCCUUAGACCUUUUUUCUUUCUUUUUUAUAAUAGACAUUGCCAGAGAGGUUGAAUGCAGCAUGUAGUACAUUUUGAUUUGUUCUCUCACUUUGCUAGGCAAUAAUACUUAAAGGUUUCAUGUAUGAAACCCAAAUCACCAGAGAUAGGAAAUUUUUUUAUUAAGGAGUAUUUGCUAGUAUUGUCUUUAAAUAGAUGUGUCUUCAAAGAGAGAAGAGAAUGGAAUUAUCUUAUUUAAAAAAAUUUUUUUUAUUGUUUUUGGGACUGGCUUCUAGAUCAUAAAUGUAUUAUGCUGCAGAGGUUACAGUGGCAUAAUUAAAGUGAUACAAGUAGACAGAUAUCAUAUGAAAAAUACUAGUCCUGGAAAGCAGAUAAUUUUCCUGAAAAAAAAAAAAAAAAAAAAAAA
rnacentral:lncRNA from 1 species